GCCCUGAAACAGUUCCUGCAGGGAUGAGAAGACCUGCCCAUAGCUUGAUGGGAAGAGUUCCUGAGGUCUUUAUAGCAGAAUGAUGAAUUCCAUCCUUUCCAGAAUGCCUUGUAGCUUCUUUGUUAGACAUCACCUUGUUGAGACAGAAUGACUUACUUGACCUAAAUCCAUCCAGCAUCUUUUUCUUGGACUGCAGUUGCCCUUUAGGCCUGUUCUUGCACCACACACUGAAACUCUACUGGUUGCUACGCUUCAGUUCAGGAGAUUUCGAUUGGGUUUGGCUUUGGUAUCAUCACCACUUCCCCUCCUCUUCCCAUGACAUUUGAGCAACACCAAGACUGAAAAGUAAAUAAACCUUGUGCAAUUUCAAAAGGAUGUAGCACUACAGAAGUUCUUUGGGUUGGGUUUGCCAUUUCCUCUGUAUGUUGUCCAGUAUCAAUCCUGAUUUGAAACCUUUAAUAAUCAUAUGUAUAGGCUGUCCUGGUCACUAUCAUCCUGUAGAUUAGCUGUUGAUUUGUCUCAGUUCUUUGAAGCAACAAUGAAAACGUAUUUACAAGACUAGCAGCAGUGCAUGUUAUGUUGUAAGAACUGUGUCUACAGGAAACAGAAAUAUGAUUUAAACACAUAUAAA